rnacentral:rRNA from 1 species
AUUGAACGCUGGCGGUAGGCCUAACACAUGCAAGUCGAACGGCAGCACAGAGGAGCUUGCUCCUUGGGUGGCGAGUGGCGGACUGGUGAGGGAUACAUCGGAAUCUACUUUUUCGUGGGGGAUAACGUAGGGAAACUUACGCUAAUACCGCAUACGACCUACGGGUGAAAGCAGGGGACCUUCGGGCCUUGCGCGAUUGAAUGAGCCGAUGUCGGAUUAGCUAGUUGGCGGGGUAAAGGCCCACCAAGGCGACGAUCCGUAGCUGGUCUGAGAGGAUGAUCAGCCACACUGGAACUGAGACACGGUCCAGACUCCUACGGGAGGCAGCAGUGGGGAAUAUUGGACAAUGGGCGCAAGCCUGAUCCAGCCAUACCGCGUGGGUGAAGAAGGCCUUCGGGUUGUAAAGCCCUUUUGUUGGGAAAGAAAUCCAGCCGGCUAAUACCUGGUUGGGAUGACGGACCCAAAGAAUAAGC